UUGAUCUUCCCGUCAUCGGCCUCUGGGACCUCGGAGGUAGGGAGGUCCUGCUCCCCGGAGGCGUCCUCUUCCUCUAGGCCAGGCUGCAGAUGCUGACCUAGAAGACAGGGAUGGUGAAACCAAGCCAGUGAAGGUGCAGGCUCCGGGAAGGACACCGAGGUGACUGAUGGUGGGAGCAGGCCUGAAAGGCGCUGGCUGCUUUAGACAAUAUUGAGAUGAGAUGCAAACGACCGUCUGCUGGCCAUUAGCUUCCUCUGCAGUGUUUGCAGGUGGAGUCGAAUGUAACGUGCCCCGCCCCGCCCCCCCCAGGGGAAUGAAGGGAGGGUCAGAGAAUGCGGCUGCGCUCAGGAUCCCCACGGAGGUUCGGGGGCUUGAAAAAGGAUGAGGCCCAGAAUGGACUCUGGGUCUUCUGCUGCAAUCACUCCCAGAGUAAGGAGCCAAGGGAAGGCCUGCCCAGAUGCUCUGAAACGGGAAGCGGAGCGGAGGUGCAUCUGGCCGGUGAAUUCAGGAAAGGGGCAAGUGUGGGGGUGGGGAAUAAAGCAGAGCACUAGCUUGCAUGUCAAACUGGCCCACACGGACCCCACAGGGCUUCAGCGUAAAGCCCGGGUGCACCUCCACCCUCCUGGAAACCCAGCGUUUCCGUCCAUUCUCUCCGUACUCGUUUGUCAUCCAGCCACCACCACCCACCAGCUCAUUUUUAGUGCUCCCUCUCCAGCUCCACCCCUCGUCCCCGACCCAUCCAUCCACAUCCCAGACCAAGCCCUCCUCACCAGGGUCCUCUUGCUACCACUGCAGGCGUUGGGCACCUCCACAGCUCCCACACUCUCCACAGGACCGGAGGGGAGGGGCGCUGGGACAAACUGCUAGCUCUGCGCAGCCGCACCCCUUCACGCAUGGGCGUGGCUCAGACCCUGCCCCCAGCACUUCAUGUCUUGCCUGUUACCCACGUAGGCCAGGCCAGUAUGGCAGUUUUUGACUCGUCCUAAGCUUUCUGUCCUAAGGAGUUGAGCAGUAAAGACCCCCAAGUCCUGACUUCCCUGCAACCCCGCUAACCCCGCCCACUCCGGUCAUAGCUGCACCCUGGCUGGUACACUCAAACAGAACCACAAGGUCAGACAAUACAGCAUGUCCUGGAAUAACAUCACUUUAUUCACCCUCAUUUCCUUACUGGUUUGGGAAAAUCUAUUCCAUCUGGGUGCACUCUGUGGCGCUUGCAUGUUCUCCCCUUGCCUGGGCCCCAUCCCCACCCCCAGGACCCGGUUGUCUUCCCACAUCCUAAAGGUAGGCAGGUGAGAGUCUGUCUGCCAUUGCCUGGGUGGGCCCUGAGAUAGAAGGGCCUUCUGUCCAGGGUGGGCUCCCACGUUGUGCUCAGGCAGGCCCCUGUCACCCACAACCCUUCACCGGAAUAAGUGACUUGGAAAAUAAUCUCCUGCUUUUAUUCAUUCCUUAAAUGUAUGUGGCUCACAUUUAUUUCAGUGUUUAAUAUCAUAAGUGUUGGGUGACAUUUUUGUAACCAGAAAUAGGCCACGGGAACCAGAAACUUAACUCUUGUCCGUAUAAAUUAGCCUAUGGCAAACUUUUGUUGCAAUAUCCAGCACCUACAGAUGGCGUUGAGAGGUUUUACUGUAAUUUAUUGAGAACUUGCCCUCCCUGCCCUGGUAGUCUCUAGGGUCACUUUUUCCGCUUGUAGAUCUUGUGCACCAGCCUCAGGAAGAUGGCUGGGGGCAGGGGUGGUGAGUGUUGCUCAAUGAGACCCAUAAGGUGGCUGUAACUGUCUUCUUCAUAUUGCUCGAACACGGCCUGCAGAUUCAGCUCCUCGUACAGCGCCUUCACCAGGGCCACCUUCUCAGCCUCCUUCUCUCCGUAAUUCUCCUGGAGGGAAUGGAAGCAGCUCAGGGACCCACAGUCCUCUCUUGGGCACCUGCAAGAUCUGGCGUUGUUCUGGAGAGGCCCGUUGCAGACACUGAAUCACGAGCCAGGUGCAUUUACCGUCCUGGAUAUCGGUGCCAAUCUUGCCUGUUACACUGGAGUCCCCAAAGACGUCAAGGUAAUCAUCCUGGGCAGGGGAGCAGAAAAGGAGAAAUGAAGAGGGUGCAAAACAGGAAAUGAAGUUAUGCUGGAGCCUGUGCCUCGAGCCUUCCUACCUGAGCCUGAAAGAACUCCCCCAUCUCCAGCAGGAUCUUCUUCGCAUUGGCAUGUUCCUUCUCCCCGUCAAUGCCCGCCUACAGUGAAAAGGGGGUUAACAAGGCAGAGGCGCCUACAUCUUCCUUGGCUGCUUCCUCCCAUGGGCCCUUGCCCAAGUGGGAGGAAGCCCCCAAAUCUCCUCUGAUCCCCUUUUAGACAUCCCUGGCCUCCCUGAUCUAGGAAGGCCUGACUGACAGGUCCAACCUGUCCCACUUGGCUAGGCCAUCCUGCAAGCAGACAGUAAUCCAUUCCAGAGGUCCUCAGAAUCUCCCUCCCUUCACGAGGCUCAGUCCAUGGGCUACUGAUUAUUAUUCUUCAUCAUCUUCACGCCAUUUCCAACUUAUUUCAGGAUGAAAAGGAAAACUUGGAGAAGCGAGGUCAGGACAGGCGGUCAUUCCUACUCACUGCCCGUCUCCUCAGCCUGAAUCGCGCCUCUCCACACUCAGAUGGAGGACUUCCUGUUCCUCUCUGAUGGGCCAAGCACUGUCCCACCACUUGCUUCACUUAAUUUUUACAAAAGUCUUGUGAGGACGACACCCAACCAACUGAGCCACACUGGUCAAGGGUAAGGCGGAGAUUUUAUCCUCAUCUUGCAGAUGAGGAAACAAACUCAGAAGGCAAACCUAGGCAUCUCCUAUGCCCUGAAACCAGCUAGAUUAGACCGUCCUAUAGAGACCAAUGCUCGGCAGUGAGCCUGGCCUGCAGCACACCUGCAG